rnacentral:rRNA from 1 species
UACGUAGGGGGCGAGCGUUGUCCGGAUUUAUUGGGCGUAAAAGGCUUGUAGGUGGCCACGUCAAGUCGGAUGUGAAAUCUCCCGGCUCAACUGGGAGGGGUCAUUCGAUACUGGCGGGCUCGAGGCCGGUAGGGGGAAGCGGAAUUCCCGGUGUAGUGGUGGAAUGCGUAGAUAUCGGGAGGAACACCAGUGGCGAAGGCGGCUUCCUGGACCGGUUCUGACACUGAGGAGCGAAAGCGUGGGGAGCGGAUCCGG